UCAUGCUGGAGUGCCGAGAGUGAGAAACGUUCCGGCGCUGUAGGAGGUGGCUGCGGCCGAUUAGGUAGAUGGUGGGGUAACGGCCCACCAUGCCGAUAAUCGGUACAGGUUGUGAGAGCAAGAGCCUGGAGACGGGUAUCUGAGACAAGAUACCGGGCCCUACGGGGCGCAGCAGGCGCGAAACCUUUACACUGCACGACAGUGCGAUAGGGGGACUCCGAGUGCGAGGGCAUAUAGCCCUCGCUUUUCUGUACCGUAAGGUUGGUACAGGAACAAGGACUGGGCAAGA
rnacentral:rRNA from 1 species